rnacentral:rRNA from 1 species
AUUGAACGCUGGCGGCAGGCUUAACACAUGCAAGUCGAACGAGUGGCGGACGGGUGAGUAAUGCUUGGGAAUCUAGCUUAUGGAGGGGGAUAACUACGGGAAACUGUAGCUAAUACCGCGUACCAUAGGAUGAGCCCAAGUGGGAUUAGGUAGUAGGUAAGGUAACGGCUUACCUAGGCGAAGAUCCCUAGCUGGUCUGAUAGGAUGAUCUGCCACACUGGGACGGAGGAACGGCCCCGAUUCCUAUGGGAGGCAGCAGUGGGGAAUAUUGCACAAUGGGCGGAAGCAUGAUGCAGCCAGGCCGCGUGUAUGAAGAAGGCCUUCGGGGUGUAAAGUACUUUCAGUCGGGAGGCGUUACCGACAGAAGAAGCAACGGCUAACUCCGUGCCAGCAGCCGCGGUAAUUC